rnacentral:rRNA from 1 species
CACGAACCGUACGACCGUUAUUCGGAAUUACUGGGCUUAAAGGGUUUGUAGGCGGCCUUGUAAGUCAGGUGUGAAAUCCCUCGGCUCAACCGAGGAAUGGCGCUUGAUACUGCACGGCUUGAGGGAGACAGGGGUAAGCGGAACUGAUGGUGGAGCGGUGAAAUGCGUUGAUAUCAUCAGGAACACCGGUGGCGAAAGCGGCUUACUGGGUCUCUUCUGACGCUGAGGAACGAAAGCUAGGGUAGCGAACGGG